AUAUAACUAAGCGGUGGAAAAGAAACUAACAAGGAUUCCCUCAGUAACUGCGAGUGAAGUGGGAAGAGCUCAGACUGAAAAUCUUCGGAAUUGUAGUCUGUCGAAGCUGAGUCUAGCCUUUGAUUGAGAAGCAAAUCUCCUGGAACGGAGUGCCGUGGAGGGUGAAAGCCCCGUUCAUCUUCUCUGAUCAUGGUGUCCGACUAGCUUUCUACGAGUCGAGUUGUUUGGGAUUGCAGCUCUAAGUGGGUGGUAAAUUCCAUCUAAAGCUAAAUAUUGGUAGGAGACCGAUAGCGCACAAGUA
rnacentral:rRNA from 1 species